rnacentral:lncRNA from 10 species
GCAGAAACAGGAAGAAAGCUGGCCGAGAGACACAUACCCGCUGAAGAUCGAAAAGGAAGCUGUCAAGGUACUACGUAGCAGUCACUUCAGACUCGGACACUUCCUGUUUACAGAGGACUAUAAAACCCCUGCCCCGUCCUCACUUGACGCUGACGCCAUUUUAGGCCUCAGCCCAUCUGCACCCAGGCGCUCGUUAAAACAGCCUGUAGCUCCACACCGCCUCCUGUUGUCUGUUGGCACGUUCUCGGGGUUCCAACCGAUACAAGAGCCUUGCAAAAGGUUGGGAUCAUGGUGCCAGAGGCAGGACCAAAAUGAGAUCCCCUCAGACAAAUUGGCAACCCCUGGAAUGGAGUGUGGUAUCAACUGAGCCCACUGUGUAUCUCCUCUUGGAUUCUAGGACUCUUACUUUGGUUGGAGUAAUACAGUGCAGGGGUCCCCAACCCCUGGGCUGAGGACCUGUAUCAGCCUGUGGCCUGUUAGGAAAUGCGCAGCACAGUAGAAGGUCAGAACACUGCUCUUGGAAUUUAAAUAUAUAUUCAAAGCUCCACUAACCUCCUCCUGCCUCCCACGUCUCAGAAGUGUGACACAAGAAAGGUGGAAAAGGAAGAGGAAAGCACGGCAAAAUUCAACUAAUGCAUCAUUUUGACACAUCUGUUGUUUGGUCAGUGGUGUGCAGUCUCCCAUUUCUGAUAUAAUAAAUGUUUACGGUAUUUCUAUUUUAAUGAAUGCCCUAGGCUCCAGAACCUGUUUGUAUACUUCCGUAGCAUAUAUCUUUAGUGAGGAGAUGGUGUUGUCUGUUUCAACUAAUAGAAAGUAAAACUGAAUGGAAAAAUUAGGUUUGAGAGCCGCUGCCUCAAUGCAACCUUCCCAGGGAAUCAAUACAGAGCUGCGGGGAGCGUCCGGAGGCCAAAGUGGCAGCAAUUGGGUCAAUUAAAGGAAGUGAGCGCAAGUUUCAAAGGAAAACAGACGUUCAUUUUCAGCAGGUUAGUUUGUUUCAAUAACCAAUCAUUUUCUCCUUUAUUUCAUAAGAAUGAAUGGGAGUUUUCUCAAAGAAAAUCUCAGAAUAUAGAACCUCAUCCCCUUGACGUCUCAAUGUCUCUGAAAAAAUGGCAUGAUUAGAUGUCAUGUUUGACAAAGUAAAUACAUAACACAAAGUAGAUGGUCGGGGUUGCAAUAAAAGCAAAAAUAGACAAAGGAAAUUACAUCAAACCGAAAAGCUUCUGCACUGCAAAGAAAAUAAUUAACAGAGUAAAGAGACAAUCUAAAGAUUGGGAGAAAAUAUUUUAGCCAUACAUUUGAUAAGGGGUAAUCAUACAAGAUAUAUAAGAAACUCACAUAACUCAACAGCAAAGAAACAAGAAACACAAUUUUAAUAUGACAAGGGGCCUGAAUAGACAUUCCUCAGAAGAAGAUAUCCAAAUGGCCAGCAGAUCUAUUUUUAAAAUGCUCAACAUGGUUGAUCAUUUGAAAAAUGUAAAUUAAAACCAUGAAGAGAGAUCAUCUCACACCUGUCAGACUGGGUUUUAUAAAAAAGACAAAAGAUAACAAGGGUCAGUGAAAUGCUGGGAAAAGGGAACACUUGUAUACAACUAGUGAAAAUGUAAACUAGUACAGAUCUCACGGGAAACUAUAUGGAAUUUCCUCAGAAAUACCUAAUGUUAAUGACGAGUUGAUGGGUGCAGCAAACCAACAUGACACAUGUAUACCUAUGUAACAAACCUGUACGUUGUGCACAUGUACCCCAGAACUUAAAGUAUAAUAAUAAUAAACUAAAAUUUGAAUUACCAUAUGAUUUAACAAGCUCACUUCUGGGUACGUGCCCAAAAGAUUUAAAAUCAAUAUAUCAAAGAAAUAUCUGCAAUCCCAUGUUUAUUGCAACAUCAUCCACAACAGCCAAGUUGUGGAAUCAACUCAAUUAUGCAAUCAAUCAAUUCAAUUGAUUGAAAUCAACUCAAUCAAUUAUGGAAUCAAAUGUCCAUCAAUGAAUGAAAUGAUUAUAAAAAUGUGGUAUAUAUACACUAUGAAAUAGUAUUCUGCCUUAAAAAAGAAGAAAAUUAUGCUAUUUGCAAGACAUGGAUGGUAUUGCAGAACAUUAUACUAAAUGAGAUAAGCUGGCACAAUAAGACAGACAGCACAAGUUCUCACUUACAUCUAAACAAUCUAAAACAAUCAAACUCAUAGAAGCAGAGAGUACAAUAGUGAUUACAGAGACAGAGGCGUGACCAGGGGAAUGAGGACAAGAUGGUCAAAGUGUACCAUAUCUCAGUUACAUGGGAGGAAUUUGUUUAGUUUUUCUUUUUUCUUUUUUUUUUUUAGUUCUAUUGUACAGUGUGCAAUAAUUAAACUUUAAUGUGAAUUUCCAAAUGACCUACACUUGGUUUAUGAACUGCCUAUAAAUAUGGAGAUAUUUUCUAUUAAAGAAAACAUGAAAUAUCAGUUCACAUGCCUAAAAAGGAACAGUAGUUUUGCAUCUCACAUAAUAGCCCUUUUUCUAUAAAUACCAAAGUAUGUAUGGAGUGUUUGGAAAGCAUUUAAUACUAUGUUGAACAUGAAAUUAUUUUUAAAUCAGGCAUUUGACCCUUUAAAAAAAUCUCAAAAUGUCAGAACCUGACUUAUAAUGUUUAUGAUAUUGUUUUUAAAUUAAAUUAGCAAAAACUGAGAAGACUUUAGGGAAAUUUUAUAUUGAUUUUUAAAUAUAUAAAUUCUCAAACACUGCAAUUAACAGGUUAUAUUUUUCCACGUAAAUAUGGACAAAUUUUGUGGAGCUCCUUUUGCAUUAGAAUAGAAUUCAGACCCACCUGCUCCACUGUACAAAGCCAAAGCUGGCCUUAUAUAAGCUUGUCUCUUAGGCGCACAGUGCUCUACUGUAUUACAGUGAAGAUGAAAGAAAGUAUGGCAGAUUAAACAUUGUUUCAAGCAUAUUCUAAUCAAACACUGAAAGUUUUUGUAUGAUAUCAAAAAGAAUAUAUUAAAUGAAGGUAAAAUGUCAGCUAAUUAGUAUAUAUCAUGAACAAUGAAAAGCCAAAAUUAUAUAAGAAUAAAAUAGCCACAUUUAAAUUACAGUUGGUGAUACACAGCACAGGCUGGCAUACUUGACAUGGGUUUUACAUUUUUUUCAUCCAAUAACUAUCUAUGUGCACCCACUGAAAUAUAUUGUAUAGAAAAAGUAAUUGAAAUAUAAUUUUGUAGAUCUUGAUACUUUAUAGAAAAGAAGAAGGCUUAUGUAAUUCUGUAGCUCAAAUAGAUAUUUUAAGUCAUGCAAACAAAGUUUUCUGGGUAUGCCUUAUUAUUUGAAAUUAUCACAAUUUCAAAGGCAAGUGUCUGAGGUUACAAUUGUUUAAACUCUAUUACAAAGGAUUAAUAACUCUAGAGAGUCUAAUAAAUCAAUUACAAUGAAAAAAGCAAAAUUAAAAUCAUCUCUUUCCCAGUGUUAUACAAUUGUGACACUUCUCAGCAUUUACAGGCAUAUAUUAGAAUACAAUUUGUUGAAUAGUAGUACAAUAUAAUCAUUAUAGAACUUUGGUGGCCUGAUGUUACUUUCAUUUUUGUUUCCCUAAGUCUGUUGAUUUUUCUCUAUGUGAAAGGCAUAUAUCUGAAGAUAAAAUUGACAUUCUCGGGGUAAGCUAGAAUUCUGUUUUCUUAAUGCUUCUCACUACAUGCUGGAAAUAUAACACCAAAAAUAUAAACAAAUGAUAGUACGCAUUUUUCAAUUUCUCUUUAAAGUGCCAUGUAUUUAUAAGGGCAUUCGUAAUGGCAACAACCACAAUUACUUUUGCACCAACCUAAUAUUAUUUUAAUGUUCAAUGGAUAACAAUAGUCAAUAUAUGACCAUUUUAUCAAUAGUGACUUUGUAUUAAUAGGAAGUGCCCAGAAGGAAUUUUAGGCGACUGAGUAACUAAAAUAUGGUAGAAUGUUAAAAUUGGGUGAGACUAAGAAUUGACCUUUUCUUACCUCUUAAUUUUGUGCAUGGAGAAUCUGAAUGUUUUGGUUAAGAUCCUAGAGAUCUUAACCAAACUCCUAAGAGCUAAGUGGGAAGCUCAACUUUCAUCUUCAUCUUUUUCCUUCCUUACACUGUUUCCUAAUACAGAGGUUGUGAUUCUGGUUUAAAGUAGACUAACAAAUCUCUUUAAAGCUUACUCUCAUGUCUACAGAGAAUAGUUAUAUUUCUCUAUUUAAUAUGCAUGCCAUAAACUUGUGACAUUUAAAGCGAACAUUUAAAUGGAACAGAAAAUGAAAUAAGGGCCUGCUUGUAAUCAUGGCUGAAAGGCCAUACCUUUCAAAAUUGAAGAUAUCUUUGCAUUUAAAACUUUACUAGUAUUUGGUGAAAAUCUUCAACAAAGAGUAGGUAGAGAACACUUUGCCUUAUGUUAGAUAAUACUAUUUCCUGUAUUUCCAGAAAUUUUCCUGGAAUAUUUAUACACUAAACAAAUGUUUGUGGAAACUAGUAACUGUUCUAUUUAUUUAACAUUUGUAACCCGUAUUCUAAUCCUAUAAAUAAAACCUUUAAAAGAUGAAAA